rnacentral:tRNA from 1 species
GGCGCGGUAGCCAAACGGGAAGGCCGAGGCUCGCAAAGCCUCUAUUCGCCGGUUCGACUCCGGCCCGCGCCUCCA